rfam:Pristionchus pacificus strain PS312 contig7384, whole genome shotgun sequence.
UCUUCAUUUCACGUGCUCUCUCGACGGUCAGAGAGGCGAGAGAGCACGCGAAAUGAGGAGA